rnacentral:rRNA from 1 species
AUGGCUCGCCGUCACCACCUCCUCCUCCUCCUCCCUCUCCUCGCGCUCGCCUUCUCCUUCGUCGCCGCCGCCCCUGAGGGACAGGGAGAUGCCGCCGCCUUCAUCGACGGCGCGUCGCACCGCUACCUGCGGGAUCAGCAGGGCGACCAGGCCACGUCGAUGUCACUUGAUGAAGUUUCCGCAGCUGUUUCUGUCUUGCUUGGUUUUGCACCACCUGCCAUGCUUCCCGCGCCUUCUUCUGCAAAGUUAAACGAGCUGCUACUCCCAAAGCCAUUUGACAGGCCUCGUGCUGUUUUCUUGAUGCAAAUUGAUGGGUCCCAUGACUCUGUCGAUAGCUUCGUAUCUGAUGCCGGUAGUAUUUACAAAACCAAGAUUGAUGUUGCAAAAAAUGCUGCUACAGGGCUUACAGAUAGGGAUGAAUUGAUUGUCAUUCGUUCAGAUGAAUCUUCUGGAUCAGAUGUUCUUGAUAAUGAACUCACCAACUUGGCAACCUGGUUGGAGGGAUCCUAUCAGAAGGCUGAUAGCAAAUUAAUCAUCCCAUUGAAGAGUGGAAACAGUCUUACUUUGCUCCUCAAUAAGGAAGUAGACGUUGAAUUUGCAUCCAGCUUGAUCUCCCUUCUCAAAACCAUCAAAAGGGGUAUUCAGGUUCACGAAGAUUUCUCAGGAGGCAUUGUGAGCCCUGCAGAGUUAUUAGUAUGCCACUUCACGGGCAUUAAGGCUCUGGAAGAUGAAUAUGGUUCCGCAGAAAUUGUCAAGCAGGGAGUGGAAGUAGUUCAAACAGCUCUCACCAAAGCAUUUGAUCAAUUGCAGGGAGCAUAUAAUGGGAAAAUUGUUGGGCUGGUAAUAUCCACCAAGGAGGCUUCAACAUCCUUGGCAUCCAUCAUCGAUGCACCGUCUUCAUUGCAUAUCUCAAGACGGCUUGCAGAAGCAUCUAAAACUAAUGCUACAGCUUCUAUAGCUGCUAUAUAUCUUGUUAGAUUGAGUCUUGCAUGGAUUACAGGGAUCAUCUUUCUUGUGUCAACUCUCAUUGGGAUUUGCCUGCUCAUGAACAUGCCGCUUACCAGGGACACGCUCCUCUAUUCGAAUGUCAAGAUGGAUUAG